CUCCAGGGGAGGGUUGUUUAUACCGCCCGCCGCCCAUGGGAGGGAAGCAGAGCACGGCGGCCCGCUCCCGGACCGCUUUCCCCGGCGUCUCGAGCGACGACAGCGCCGUCCACACCGCUCACUACGGCCAUUACCGGGCGUCCGCCGCCGGCACCGCCGCUGGAGGUGGAGGUAGUAGUGGUGGAGGAGGAGGAGGAGGCCCCGCCAUGGGGCUCAGGACUCGCUCGGUUAGCAGCGUGGCCGCUAUGGAACCGGCUCAUCCUUUCGGGCUGUACAGUGGUGGAGGUGGAGGGAGCCGGGCUGGAGGAGGAGGCGGCAGGGUGACCGAUGGUGUGGAGCACAGUAACGGAGGAGGUCCCGACUCGGCCGGUAACGGUUACCGGGAGACAGGAGGAGGCCCGGCCGCCCGGGAACUGCAGCUCUACCUGGGCUCGAGAGCGGCCUCGCUGUCCGACUCGCUGCCGCUUCACCUGGCGGCGCCACGCUGGUUCAACACACACAGCGGUUUCAAGUGCCCAAUUUGCUCAAAAUCUGUAGCUUCCGAUGAGAUGGAGAUGCACUUUAUAAUGUGUCUCAGCAAGCCACGACUCUCCUAUAACGACGAUGUACUGAGUAAAGAUGCUGGAGAAUGUGUAAUCUGUUUGGAAGAACUUCUGCAAGGAGACACAAUAGCUCGACUUCCCUGUCUUUGUAUCUACCAUAAAAGCUGUAUAGAUUCAUGGUUUGAAGUGAACAGAUCAUGUCCAGAACACCCUUCAGAUUGACCUCUCCUGGCUUGCAGCUGCUUAUGGCCUUCUAUUAAAGUUGGUGUACGUACCCCCGGGUAACCCGGAGUGGCUUGCAUGACUGGGGCACUUUGCUCACUUUGGAUAAACCCUUACUUGGAGGUUAAGAAUCUGAAACACUCGAAGUUUACCCUUGAACUGAAAUUCCAGCAACCAGUUUUGAACAAGAGAAACAAAAAGCACCAAAUGAAAUUUGGAUAAAGAAGGAAGUAUGGGUAGAUCGCCAGCUGGUAGAUCAAUCACAUCAGCCCCAGAAUGACUAAUACUUUUCAAAAAGACUGUACAGAAAUAAAGAGGGAGAAAAGGACUGGCCAAACAGCACGAUAGCUUUUUGGGUUUAAAAAUGCCAUACAAAAGACUUGUCUCUGGGAUGUGACUUCAAGGUGGCAACCACUACAUGUUAUUAAAGCAAAGGAGAGUGGAAUUUCACGUGUGUUGACCAAGUUCUGAAAAUACCAGAAUGUAAAGCAUUGAGUGUCCGUGGGCUUGUAGUUGUGUCCAUGAUGUGUUUACACAGUGUCCAGUGUAGCCAGCGUGUUCUUGCUGAUGUGUGUACAGACACGAGUACUCUCCUGGCUUUUUCCAUCCCACUUUGUGACAGACGUUGCCAAAAAUUUAAAAUGGAACAGAACCCCCUCCUCUGUUGAAAGGAUCUGUUCCUUGUCGACAAUGUUCAGCCAGAAGCGCUCUCUGCACUAACGUUUAAACCUGGAAUCCUGUCUUCUUGAGCUGUUCAGCUCUGUGCUACAAAGUGACACAGGCAUCCUAAAGAGAUGGUUUAAAUCUCUUUUUUUUUGUCCUCCUCUCAAGGCCCUUGUGGAUUUUUUUAUGGCUGCAAUUUCCUCUAGAGACUAGUGAAUCUGUCCUGCUGUUAAAGAUACCAAUUUUACUUCAGCUUGUUAUGGAGCCUGAAUAUUCAGGCUGGUGUGUUUAUGACAGCUGGAGAAAGAUACUCCCUUUUGUUUGUCAAGGUGUUUUGAUAUGGUGUACCGUCACGAUGUUGAAUAAACUAUUGAAUGAGCAUUUACAUUAAUUUGUGCUAGAUAAACUGAAAUGGAGUUAAGGUUCCCUUUUCUAAUUUUAUUUUGACAGAAAUCUCUUCACACAUGAAAAGUUACAGCAUGAUGUAAAGGUUUUUUUUUACUAUUUGGUGAUGUAGGCUUUUAGUAAGUCUCAGGAAAUGCAAUGGCCUGCACGUGACCCUGAUGUGGGUAGUUUUCCACUUUCUUUAGGGACUGCAUUUACAUUGGGAGACCAGUUUAUAGCAUAAAGGACGUUGCAAUGGUUGUCCGAGAGCUAUAGACUGAUGCUACUAUUCAAUGAUGUGUUUACAGUGACUGCAAGUUGAUAGAAGUAACGUAAGCUAGGAUUCAUAAGCUCUGCCCUAUCUGGCCAAUCAGAACUCUCCAGCAGAGCUAGUACACAGAUCCCUACAAACAUUGGGAGAAACCCUGAGUUUGCUAGGCACGAGCAGCCUGGAUAUCAGGAAGUUAAUUCCUUGCUGUAGAUUUUACUAGUAAAUUAAGUGGUAAUCUUUUUUUCCCCGAAACAAAAACUAGUGUUUUAUAGUUGAUGAACAGACAGACAAAUAAGAAAGAGACUGGAGAUGACACUUUAUAAAAAAUGGAGGAUGUGACUGGAAAAUGAGGAGCGCGCACACCAGCAUUUAUAUUAAAAUUGGUGUUUGUGAGAAGAUUUCAGAAUCAAGACAAAUUGCACUAGUGGUCAAAAAAAAAUUUGAAACCGUGCUGUGAGCAGUUUUGGGUACUACAAGCUACUGCAUGACGGGUAUUGGGUUUGAGCGUAAGGUAGAUUAUUAUAAGAUAAUUGUGCUUUUCCCAGAAAUGUGAGUGUGCCUAGCACUUCUUGGAACUGUGUACAGUCAUUGUGAAAUUAAUGUUUUGAUAUGGUGGGUUAGGGGCUUUUCCCAUGUAUAGAGAUUGAAAUAUGUAGCAGGAUUAUGUCGCUGCUGUUUUUACUAUGUGUUUUAUUCUGGCAUCAGCUUUACAUUUCCCUUCCACUUUUGUAAUGGUUUCACUGUGUGCUCUGUUUCUUUAAAUGAUUUAUCAAAAGAGGUCACAAUGAUGAGGUCCUUGUAAUCUGUGAUGGAUUUCAAACUUCAGGUACAGAGUGUCAGUGAAGCAAGAAUUUACUUUGUUUAAACAAACUUUGUUUUAAAGUUGUUGCACGAUACACAGCACAUUCAUGAUGACAUAAAGUAAUGCACUUUUUGUUUUCUGUGUACUUUUUUUGAAGUUUCUUGAAUGCUCUUGCACUGCUUUAUUCUGAUACAGAUUCUGACCUGGGUGGUCUGUCCUAAUUUUCAAGGUGAACAUUGUAAAAGAAAAAUCAAAAUUUAAGCUUAUUUACUUAAUUUUGAAUGCCUCUGCUGUAAUUUAUACUUAUUCUAAUUUACUCUGUCUUAGUGCCUUGAGUUGAAACCAUUUUUGGUGCUCUCAUUGAGCUGACUAGUUUCCAGCCUGUUUCUUGGUAGCUUUGAUGAAUGAGGAAAUUAACAGUGCUUUUAAUGUGGCUUGUCCCCACUAUAUUUUCAUGUCAAAUCUUUCAUAUAAAGUUAGUUAUUUUUUUAAAAUUCCUUUCAGAUGUGUACGAAAAUAAUAUGGAACUAAAUAUCUAAAUUACAAAUAAAUGGACUCUCUCGAUUUCUGUCUUCAUAAAACAAUGUCCAGUUCCUGCUCUGUAGCUGAACAGCUGAUCUGCAGCAAAUAUUUGACUGCUUUCUUAAAAAUUCAACUGUCGUUUGUGGUACGAUCUAGUGUGAACCUAGUUGAAGUUGUGUGCAGUAUUUGACUGCUUGUGUCAAACAUAGAUGCCACCUAGUGGCUCAGGAAUAAACAGCCCAAAUCAAUCAAAAUCAUAAUUUAUAAAAGCAGAUAUAAUCAUCUACAGUAGCAUCAACAUUCUCACUUAAUGCAUUUUUAAAAAUGGAAAUGAAAAGAAAAUGUUGAAAGUACUCAGAUGCUUUAUCUGCAUCUGAAAACCCUUUAACGUUAACAUUUCAGUAUGGAAAACCAAAACCAAUACACUUGCUAAGAAUUUGGGGAUUUUUGUGUAAUAAUUAAUCCUUUGGAUUAAGAAGGAAAUUUACCUAAAAUAGCAUGAUCCCACAGUUUUGCCUGCUCUUUUAAAAGUUUGACUAAAAUUGCUGUCUGACAGGGUGGUCACAAAGUACUCUGUGGCAGAAUGUUGCUGAGCACCUGUUAUUUCUCACGUGACUCACCUCUGUUAUUUUCACUGGAGCAGGAAUUGAUCAUUUCUUCCCCCAGACAUGAAGUGGACCUCAGCAGGCGACCGCUGCAGGCCACAUUGACUCCCUCAGUCAAACAGCUGCUUUAGUCAUGAAACCUGGUGGCAGCUGACUUGCUUGUCAGAGCAUAGCAUGAGGAGAGGAAAGGACAGCUAAGUUGGGAAAGGAGAAUCUCCACUUGCAUAAUUAAAAUGUAUUGUUGUUGAAAUGUUUACCCAAAAAAAACUUACAAUGCUGCUUCAAUUUUCACCAUAAUGACUUGCUUAUCGGGGUUGCAGAAGAGUUCUGUGGUAUCACAUCUGUUGCUUUAAAAGUGGUGAUGUUCUGAUGGUCGAUCUGCAGGCAGUAAGAUCUUGAUUACAAUCCAUGUCAGUAUCUUAACAUAAUGUGUCAACCAAGAGUAUAAAUUCUUAGUCGCCUUCAGACGUCAUAUCCUCUGGUUGAUUUUGCCAUAUGUCUACGUAGAGGCCACUUUUGCAUUGAGAGUACAGGCCAAUGAUUGCAACGAGUAAUCUCCAUUUAGUACUGCUCUGUUUUAGCAGCAGAACAUCACAGUCUAACUACUUAUAUCGAUUGCCCUGAGGAGACCAUUGUGCGACUUUUAAAAAGAUAUCAAUUAUUUUAAACUUUCGAUUCUCAUUCAUGAUACUUUUAAUAUUUAAUCACCUGCAAGAUUGAAAGAGUAGGAGAUGAUUCAGACCCUUGAAACUGCUCCAUUCAGUUAGAUCAUGGUUGACCUGCACCUCGACUCCACAUCCUUCAAUUUGUGGUGUGCAAAGAUUUCAGUCUCUUUAGAUCCUGCCACCUCUGCUGUGGGAAAUAGAAGUUGAGUUUACACAAGCAUACUUUGUCUGUAUAAAUCUUUUAUAUCAUUCUGGGGAAUGCAUAUUGCAACCCCUUUACAGCCGUUCAAUUCUUGGAUUGAAAUGGGAUGCCCAAAAAGUGAAUGCAGUGUUCUAGUUGGGAUCUGACCAAGACUGUAUACAGCUGAAAAAUGUUCUUCAACCCCCUUGAGAUAAGGGUAAACCUUUCAGACCUUUUGAUUACAUUUUGAGUACUUGCCAACAACUGAACUGAAACACUAGAAUUUACGUUGCUCAGGCCCAAAAUGAAUGACUUUAGACUUAUCCUUAUUGAACUCCAUUGGCCAAAGUCUUAACUACGCAAUUAAGUAUAUUUCUUCUUAAUUUCCUUCUCCCAUCUGCGUGAUUCCAUCAUCCCGUCUAACAACAUUUUUAUCUACAAACUUGGUGCGCCACUCUAUUUCUUUAACUAAGUCAUUAAUAGAUAUUGAAAGAGUGUGGAGUUCCAGAACAACUCCCAGACUGUAAACCUAUUGUUUAGAAGAGAUUGACUAGUCUGAUAAUCAUCACUGUGUAGCAUUCCCUUUGUCUUAACUCCUCGUUUUCUAUUUCCCGAUCAAUUUCCAGCACAGAUUAUAAGUCUACUUCCAAUUCCGUCUCCCUUCAUUUUGCCAUUUUGUUUCUGGAAUUGUAUCAAAAUGACUUCUUGAGAUCUACGGAUAACAUCACUAGGUACCGCUUAUUUGUGACACUGCUACUGAAUUAGUCAGAUAUGACCUGGACUUAAUGAAACCGUUUUAACUUUCUGAUAAGCUCAUUUUUGUUUAAUUACUUACUAACCAUUCGCGGUGACAGAUCUCAGUAACUUCCCUAUAACUAACAUUAAACUGACAGGCUAGAAUUCACAAUGUAACUGAACAAUCAGUGAAACAUUAGAUUUGAAAGAUUAUGACUAAUGCUUCUGAAUUCUCUCUCCAAUUAUUUUAACACUCCAGAGUGGAAACCGUCAAAUCCUCAAGAUUAUCUUGCCUAAUUCCCACUAAUUUCUCCAUUACCUAAUUUUUAAAAAAAAAAUUAGUUGUAUUAAAUCCAGUAAGAUUCUCCCUUGGAUUUAUUCUUCAUCUAUGAUUAGUACUUUAUACCUUGAAGUUCCGGAUACAUCUGUUUUUUUGGGUCCACAUUUCUCUUAGAUAAUCUUGCUCUCAUUAUUAGUAGUAACAAUUUUACUAUUAGCUUUUACCUUAAUUGCAAGUUUUAGUUUUGUUAUGUUUUUUCAGCUUGUAAUUUCCUUUUGUCCUGUUGUUUCCAUAUUUUAAUUAAUAAUUGUCACAAUGUAGUAGUGAAAAUAUGCUGCUGUAUACAACUUCUGCCUCUCUUCUUUUGCCCAAUCCACCUUCCAAAUGAAAUGUGCUUCAUUUUGCAGUUAAUGAAAGAAUGUUAUCCAAACAGUUUUAUUUAAAUAAGCAUUCAGAAGGCUGAUCAGCAAUUAUUUAUGCAAGCUUGUUAGAUAAAAUCCGGAUUGUCUAUUGUAAUAGCACAUUUGGGUAACUAAUUAUUUGGUUAGACUCAUGUAAAAGAGGUGAAAGAGGAAUAAGAGAAACUGUGUCUGAUGACCUUUAUUAAGCAGAACUGCAACAUGAAGUACAAAUGCUGUGUAUUCUACUUCCUCUGUUCAAUAUUUCAGUGUGACUGGGACGUUGCCUUAUGUAAUGAAUUGUCUUUGUAUUGCCCUACAAGAAAAAGGAACUCUUUAGGAGAUUGGAGGAACUUACCCAAUGUGAUUGUAAUCAGAUGCAGACAAUGUAAAUCCUAGUGUGUUUCAGUGUAGUGCAUUAUUAAAUUAUGGCCUGGAUCCUUGAACUAAAGCAGUGUUUGAAAGGAAAAACAAAAUCAGACUUUUCGAAGACGAAAUACUGUAUCAUCAAUGUAAGUCAUUAAUUUACAAGUCAAUUUUUUUGUAGACUUGAAUAAAAGGGGAUAAUCUUUCAACUGUCUUAGUGUGUUUUACACUAUGCACUGUAAGCAGGCUUUCACCAGGUUCCAAUGAGAACAGAUGGAAUUUGUUUGUAAUGCAGUUUCUUGAAAAAUGUUAAAUGUUUACAGGCACAUUAUGCUUUUUAUAUUAAAUUUACUGAGUAGAAGUUGAUCUGAGAUUAACACCAAAAAGAUACAAAGCUCAUUUUAAACAGACUAUCCUGUAUGUUGAUGUAUAGUAUGUAUUUCAAAAUUAUGAAAAAUAAAAUCUACACAACA